rnacentral:rRNA from 1 species
GAUUGAACGCUGGCGGCAGGCCUAACACAUGCAAGUCGAGCGGAUGAAGGGAGCUUGCUCCUGGAUUCAGCGGCGGACGGGUGAGUAAUGCCUAGGAAUCUGCCUGGUAGUGGGGGAUAACGUCCGGAAACGGGCGCUAAUACCGCAUACGUCCUGAGGGAGAAAGUGGGGGAUCUUCGGACCUCACGCUAUCAGAUGAGCCUAGGUCGGAUUAGCUAGUUGGUGGGGUAAAGGCCUACCAAGGCGACGAUCCGUAACUGGUCUGAGAGGAUGAUCAGUCACACUGGAACUGAGACACGGUCCAGACUCCUACGGGAGGCAGCAGUGGGGAAUAUUGGACAAUGGGCGAAAGCCUGAUCCAGCCAUGCCGCGUGUGUGAAGAAGGUCUUCGGAUUGUAAAGCACUUUAAGUUGGGAGGAAGGGCAGUAAGUUAAUACCUUGCUGUUUUGACGUUACCGACAGAAUAAGCACCGGCUAACUUCGUG